rnacentral:rRNA from 1 species
ACUGCGUACCUUUUGUAUAAUGGGUCAGCGACUUAUAUUCUGUAGCAAGGUUAACCGUAUAGGGGAGCCGGAGGGAAACCGAGUCUUAACCGGGCGUUAAGUUGCAGGGUAUAGACCCGAAACCCGGUGAUCUAGCCAUGGGCAGGUUGAAGGUUGGGUAACACUAACUGGAGGACCGAACCGACUAAUGUUGAAAAAUUAGCGGAUGACCUGUGGCUGGGGGUGAAAGGCCAAUCAAACCGGGAGAUAGCUGGUUCUCCCCGAAAGCUAUUUAGGUAGCGCCUCGUGAAUUCAUCUCCGGGGGUAGAGCACUGUUUCGGCUAGGGGGCCAUCCCGGCUUACCAACCCGAUGCAAACUGCGAAUACCGGAGAAUGUUAUCACGGGAGACACACGGCGGGUGCUAACGUCCGUCGUGAAGAGGGAAACAACCCAGACCGCCAGCUAAGGUCCCAAAGUCAUGGUUAAGUGGGAAACGAUGUGGGAAGGCCCAGACAGCCAGGAUGUUGGCUUAGAAGCAGCCAUCAUUUAAAGAAAGCGUAAUAGCUCACUGGUCGAGUCGGCCUGCGCGGAAGAUGUAACGGGGCUAAACCAUGCACCGAAGCUGCGGCAGCGAACGUAUCACCCAAGACAACUUUACGGAGUUGACGAUUGACGGAGCGAAGCGACGUCAAAGCGUUCAUUAAAGUCGAGUUGGCUUAGGGAUACGUUCGUUGGGUAGGGGAGCGUUCUGUAAGCCUGUGAAGGUGUGUCGUGAGGCAUGCUGGAGGUAUCAGAAGUGCGAAUGCUGACAUAAGUAACGAUAAAGCGGGUGAAAAGCCCGCUCGCCGGAAGACCAAGGGUUCCUGUCCAACGUUAAUCGGGGCAGGGUGAGUCGACCCCUAAGGCGAGGCCGAAAGGCGUAGUCGAUGGGAAACGGGUUAAUAUUCCCGUACUUGGUGUUACUGCGAAGGGGGGACGGAGAAGGCUAUGUUGGCCGGGCGACGGUUGUCCCGGUUUAAGCGUGUAGGUGUGUGUUCCAGGUAAAUCCGGUU